AAUGACGUGCUUGACUAAAAGGUUACCUUGAUAGGGUAAAUAAAGGAAAUAACAUUCCCGCCAUUA
rnacentral:tRNA from 1 species